AGCUCCAAUAGCGUAUAUUUUAGUUGUUGCAGUUAAAAAGCUCGUAGUUGAAUUUCUGGUGAGCGAGAGCGGUCCGAUCAAUGAUUGGUGCUUGUUUUCGCUGGCCAUCCUUGGGUUUAGCCAGUCUGGCAUUAAGUUGUCGGGCUGGGGAUGCCCAUCGUUUACUGUGAAAAAAUUAGAGUGUUCAAAGCAGACUUAUGUCGUUGAAUAUAUUAGCAUGGAAUAAUAAGAUAGGACUACAGUGCUAUUUUGUUGGUUUGCGCACCGUGGUAAUGAUGAAUAGGGACAGUUGUGGGUAUUCGUAUUCACUUGUAAGAGGUGAAAUUCUUAGAUUAAGGGAAGACGAACUACUGCGAAAGCAUUUACCAAGGAUGUUUUCA
rnacentral:rRNA from 1 species